rnacentral:rRNA from 1 species
UAUCUCUGUAGAGUCUGCAUAUCAAUAAGCGGAGGAAAAGAAACUAACUAGGAUUCCCUUCAGUAACGGCGAGUGAAGCGGGAAGAGCUCAGAUUUGAAAUCUUCAAGGUUCUACCUUGACGAGUUGUAGUUUAAAGAAGUGUUUUCUGUUAGAGUGAGUAGCAAAAGUUCCUUGGAAUAGGGACAUCAUAGAGGGUGAGAAUCCCGUAUUUGUUACAUUCAUUCUAGCUUUGUGAUAGCACUUUCAAAGAGUCGGAUUGUUUGGGAAUGCAGUCCAAAAUGGGUGGUAAAUUUCAUCUAAAGCUAAAUAUUGGCGAGAGACCGAUAGCGAACAAGUACCGUGAGGGAAAGAUGAAAAGAACUUUGAAAAGAGAGUUAAACAGUACGUGAAAUUGUCAAAAGGGAAGCGUUUGACACCAGUGUUGUUUUUCCGAAAAUCAAUUACGAAUGGCUUGAUUUUGUGUUGUAUUGACCUUAUCAGCUUUCUUCACUUCUUUCGAGUCUUUCUUAAUGCACUUUUCGGUUAACAAGUCAACAUCAAUUUCUUUUGUUGUAAAAGAGUAUUCGGAAGGUGGCUUUCUUUUCGGAGAAAGUGUUUAUAGCCCUAUACUUCUACAAUCGGAGAGAUUGAGGUCUGCAGCGUAGAUCCUUCGGGGUUAGAUACAUUUGUGCUAAGUUGUAGCUCUUCAUAGACAACUUGUUGACUAUGUUUAGUCAUGCGGCUUACUCGCUUAUGCUAUUUUACCUACGCUUAGGAUGUUGAAGACUCUACAGAGAUA